AAAGGUAUUUGAGGAUGGCAGUAAUUCACCAAGUUCAGAUAAUUUGGAGCCUUCAACAGAGUAAAGGGGAACAGACCCUUUGAAUUGUGUAUUCAUAGACUAUUUUUAGUGAUUGUAUUUGCAAUGACUAGUGGAAAUUAGCCCUAAAAAAUUAUGAGCCUUUUGAAAUGCUACAGAGAGAAGUGGCUGCUGGGAUGCACUGAGUCUAGUUUUGUUUAUAUCUUAGUGAAUUCGGACUGCCUAAGCAUGGUCUUCACUCUUCCCUGCAAGCCAUCUUACCUGAUAUUUGGGCUAUCAAGCUUCACAUGCAUGAG
rnacentral:misc_RNA from 1 species